UACAGAGGUCCCAAGCGUUGUUCGGAUUCACUGGGCGUAAAGGGUGCGUAGGUGGCCAGGUAAGUCUGAUGUGAAAUCUCGGAGCUUAACUCCGAAACUGCAUUGGAUACUAUCUGGCUAGAGGGUCGGAGGGGAGACUGGAAUUCUCGGUGUAGCAGUGAAAUGCGUAGAUAUCAAGUGGAACACCAGUGGCGAAGGCGAGUCUCUGGACAUUUCCUGACGCUGAGGCACGAAAGCCAGGGGAGCAAACGGG
rnacentral:rRNA from 1 species